GACGAACCGUACAAACGUUAUUCGGAAUUAUUGGGCGUAAAGAGCUCGUAGGCGGUUUGUCGCGUCUGCCGUGAAAGUCCGGGGCUCAACUCCGGAUCUGCGGUGGGUACGGGCAGACUAGAGUGAUGUAGGGGAGACUGGAAUUCCUGGUGUAGCGGUGAAAUGCGCAGAUAUCAGGAGGAACACCGGUGGCGAAGGCGGGUCUCUGGGCAAUUCCUGACGCUGAGGCGCGAAAGCGUGGGGAGCAAACGGG
rnacentral:rRNA from 1 species